rnacentral:rRNA from 1 species
GACGAACGCUGGCGGCGCGCUUAACACAUGCAAGUCGAACGGAAAGGCCUGCUUUCCCUUGUGGAUUGCGGGUACUCGAGUGGCGAACGGGUGAGUAACACGUGAGUGAUCUGCCCCCAACUUGGGUAUAAGCCUGGGAAACUGGGUCUAAUUCCCGAUAGUACUGCAGUGUGGUGCCUGUGGUGGAAAACGAUUUUCUAGUGGUUGGGGAUGAGCUCGCGGCCUAUCAGCUUGUUGGUGGGGUAAUGGCCUACCAAGGCGGCGACGGGUAGCCGGCCUGAGAGGGUGGACGGCCACAUUGGGACUGAGAUACGGCCCAGAGUCCUACGGGAGGCAGCAGUGGGGAAUAUUGCACAAUGGGCGGAAGACUGAUGCAGCGACGCCGCGUGGGGGAUGACGGCCUUCGGGUUGUAAACUCCUUUCGACCGCGAGGAAGCCACCUGGUUGGAAGGGUGGUGACGGUAGUGGUAGAAGAAGCACCGGCUAACUACGUG